CAGCAGCCGCGGGAAAACGUAGGGUGCGAGCGUUAAUCGGAAUUACUGGGCGUAAAGCGUGCGCAGGCGGUUCGUUAAGACAGAUGUGAAAUCCCCGGGCUUAACCUGGGAACUGCAUUUGUGACUGGCGAGCUAGAGUAUGGCAGAGGGGGGUAGAAUUCCACGUGUAGCAGUGAAAUGCGUAGAGAUGUGGGGGAAUACCGAUGGCGAAGGCAGCCCCCUGGGCCAAUACUGACGCUCAUGCACGAAAGCGUGGGGAGCAAACAGGAUUAGAUACCCCCGUAGUCCCUGUCUCUUAUAC
rnacentral:rRNA from 1 species